GUGCCAGCAGCCGCGGUAAUACGGAGGGGGCUAGCGUUGUUCGGAAUUACUGGGCGUAAAGCGCACGUAGGCGGAUCAGAAAGUUGGGGGUGAAAUCCCGGGGCUCAACCUCGGAACUGCCUUCAAAACUAUUGGUCUUGAGUUCGAGAGAGGUGAGUGGAAUUCCGAGUGUAGAGGUGAAAUUCGUAGAUAUUCGGAGGAACACCAGUGGCGAAGGCGGCUCACUGGCUCGAUACUGACGCUGAGGUGCGAAAGCGUGGGGAGCAAACAGGAUUAGAU
rnacentral:rRNA from 1 species